rnacentral:rRNA from 1 species
CCUACGAGGCAGCAGUGGGGAAUAUUGGACAAUGGGCGGAAGCCUGAUCCAGCAACGCCGCGUGAGGGAUGACGGCCUUCGGGUUGUAAACCUCUUUCACCGAUGACGAAGCGCAAGUGACGGUAGUCGGAGAAGAAGCACCGGCCAACUACGUGCCAGCAGCCGCGGUAAUACGUAGGGUGCGAGCGUUGUCCGGAAUUAUUGGGCGUAAAGGGCUCGUAGGCGGUUUGUCACGUCGGGAGUGAAAACACCGGGCUUGACUCGGUGCUUGCUUUCGAUACGGGCAGACUAGAGGUAUGCAGGGGAGAACGGAAUUCCUGGUGUAGCGGUGAAAUGCGCAGAUAUCAGGAGGAACACCGGUGGCGAAGGCGGUUCUCUGGGCAUGUCCUGACGCUGAGGAGCGAAAGUGUGGGGAGCGAACAGGAUUAGAUACCCUGGUAGUCCACACCGUAAACGUUGGGCGCUAGGUGUGGGAGUCACUCUACGGUCCGUCGCGCAGCACGCAUAGCGCCCGCCGUCGGGUAGGUACGGCCGGCGACGGACGUAAACGUACAAAGUAGAAGUUAAGUACGGUCGUUGAGUACGUUGCGACGGCGACGACGAGGGAGGAGG